rnacentral:lncRNA from 1 species
UAGUUCGAGAAAAAUAAAUAAAUCUCAUGAAGAUUCAAUAACUGUCAUAGCGUGUCUAAAAUUUGAGACAGACUGAAAUUCAUCAAAAACAAGGAAAUUAUUUGUUUAGAACAGGGAAAUAUUAACUAUCGAAAUGAUCAAACCUGCAUACCUUAAAAUCAUAAGACUUUUUAUGAAUAUAUUACAUAACUAUAACAUAAUAUAUCAUGGUAAAUGCACCAGGUGUUAACUCCAAAUUUUGUACUUUGAAUAAUUUGAAUAAGGACGAAAUCUCAGUUUAAUGAUAGAAGAGGCAGAUUCAAGAUUUUUGAAAGAAAGCGUAAUUCCUGAUCAACCAUUCUAUUAUUGAGAAAAAAAUGGACAAUUUUAAACUUUUACAAUUUUUAUAUAUUCCGUAAAAAAAACCAACAUAUGACUAAAUAUAUUAGCGAUCAUACGCCAUCCUCUGUAUCCGCC